AUUAUGGCCCACCCUUUAAUUGUAUUUGUAAUUUGCCCUUUUUUUCUUCAUUCAUAGUGUGAUUCUGUAGUGAUUCCAAUUGCACUAAACUAAAGUAGCUUCUUUUCUUUUGACAAGUGACUAGUGAGUGAUUAUCUGAUCCAUGCUUGAAAAGUACCUAGUAUUCAAUUAGGAUUUGGACACACUCAAUUAUUUGUGUAAGGGGCUAGUCCGAAUUUGUUCUUGGUUAAAUCUUUUGACAAGUGAGUCAAUAUAUUACAGAGACGUGAUCUUUUAUUCCCGGAGUAAUUUCUGAAAUCACUAUUAAUGUACAUUGCAUCUAUAAAACUAGUGAUAUGCAUAUGGUCUAUAUGAAUUGGCCGUGCCUUAAAAUAAGUGUAUCAAACAGAUAUUAAAUCAUACUCUCUCUGUUUCAAUUUAUAAGAUAACAAUGUAAUGUAAUAAAGUUUAUUUGAGUAUGACACAUGAAUUACCUCAUUUGCCUCUGGUAUAAAUGUCCCAAGUACCAAGAGAGUAAAUACACACAAUAUCCCCUUGGUGACCUGUCCAGGAUUUGCUGCAGUUUCCUUGUCAAUAACAAACAGGCCCUAAAAGAUAUUAAAUUUAGAAUCUGCCGUAAAACAUGUGUAACACAGUGUUGAUAAUAUCAAUUCUGCGAGGCUCACUCCAAGUUCAAAAAAUAGAAAUCUCCAUUUGGAAGUUUUCUAUGUUUGGUCUGCUCAUUGCCUACUCUUUUCUCCAGUUCUCCGCAAGAGAGCAAAGUGGUGUUCAGUCUCCAUUCCUCAAGUUGGUCUGUGAGCUGUACUCAUUAUGGAGAAUGUUCUUAGAACCAAACAUGGUUUUCCAGCUUGAAACUGAGAUUGAAAUUCUUAGUAAGGAAAUAUUUUUAAAACUACUACCUAAUGGUGCUUGAUAGGGUGGUACUGGUGGUACGUUUAAGAAUAUAAAAAUUAGGAGACACGUAUGACUUGGUCUCUCAGAAGAGCCUCUGUGGUAUUCUAUUAGUGUUGAUGUUGGACUCAACACAGUUUAAAUAGGCAGCAUAACGUUUGAUGUUCAUGUUUCCUACAAGUUCUCCUUAAUAACAUUGGCUUGGAACGACUAUGAAGAAUGACUUGGACAUAAAGGACCAUGCACUUCCUGCAAUAUGAUGAUGUUUGAAAAUAUCAACUUAGGAAGCUUGACUAAGCAUUAGUGUACAGUCUAUGAUCAUAAUUUCUCACAACUGUUUUUGCAUCGAAGAUUGAACAUUUAUUCUUGUAACUAUCAGAUUACAGUUUCAGAGCAACUUACAAUAAGUAGUUUGACAUGAGUUGUGUUGUCAUAAGACACUUGAUAAAUCUUUCUCGCUUUAAAUAUCUCCAUAGAUAAAAAUGUAUGGAUUUGAUUAAUUAGUUUGACAUUACAGCUGAA